AUUGAACGCUGGCGGCAGGCUUAACACAUGCAAGUCGAGCGGGGUGAUGGUGCUUGCACUAUCACUUAGCGGCGGACGGGUGAGUAAUGCUUAGGAAUCUGCCUAUUAGUGGGGGACAACAUCUCGAAAGGGAUGCUAAUACCGCAUACGUCCUACGGGAGAAAGCAGGGGAUCACUUGUGACCUUGCGCUAAUAGAUGAGCCUAAGUCGGAUUAGCUAGUUGGUGGGGUAAAGGCCUACCAAGGCGACGAUCUGUAGCGGGUCUGAGAGGAUGAUCCGCAACACUGGGACUGAGACACGGCCCAGACUCCUACGGGAGGUAGCGGUGGGGAAUAUUGUAAAAUGGGGGGAACCCUGAUCCAGCCAGGCCGCGUGGGUGAAGAAGGCCUUAUGGUUGUAAAGCACUUUAAGCGAGGAGUAGGCUCUUUUGGUUAAUACCCAAGAUGAGUGGACGUUACUCGCAGAAUAAGCACCGGCUAACUCUGUGCCAGCAGCCGCCGUAA
rnacentral:rRNA from 1 species